rnacentral:rRNA from 1 species
GAUGAACGCUGGCGGCGUGCCUAAUACAUGCAAGUCGAGCGAACAGACGAGGAGCUUGCUCCUUCGACGUUAGCGGCGGACGGGUGAGUAACACGUAGGUAACCUACCUAUAAGACUGGGAUAACUUCGGGAAACCGGAGCUAACACCGGAUAAUAUUUCGAACCGCAUGGUUCGAUAGUGAAAGAUGGCUUUGCUAUCACUUAUAGCUGGACCUGCGCCGUAUUAGCUAGUUGGUAAGGUAACGGCUUACCAAGGCAACGAUACGUAGCCGACCUGAGAGGGUGAUCGGCCACACUGGAACGGAGACACGGUCCAGACUCCUACGGGAGGCAGCAGUAGGGAAUCUGCCGCAAUGGGCGAAAGCCUGACGGAGCAACGCCGCGUGAGUGAUGAAGGUCUUCGGAUCGUAAAACUCUGUUAUUAGGGAAGAACAAACGUGUAAGUAACUGUGCACGUCUUGACGGUACCUAAUCAGAAAGCCACGGCUAACUACGUG